AGUGAACGCUGGCGGUAGGCCUAACACAUGCAAGUCGAACGGCAGCACAGUAAGAGCUUGCUCUUACGGGUGGCGAGUGGCGGACGGGUGAGGAAUACAUCGGAAUCUACUUUUUCGUGGGGGAUAACGUAGGGAAACUUACGCUAAUACCGCAUACGACCUACGGGUGAAAGCAGGGGAUCUUCGCACCUUGCGCGAUUGAAUGAGCCGAUGCCGGAUUAGCUAGUUGGCGGGGUAAAGGCCCACCAAGGCGACGAUCCGUAGCUGGUCUGAGAGGAUGAUCAGCCACACUGGAACUGAGACACGGUCCAGACUCCUACGGGAGGCAGCAGUGGGGAAUAUUGGCCAAUGGGCGCAAGCCUGAUCCAACCAUACCGCGUGGGUGAAGAAGGCCUUCGGGUUGUAAAGCCCUUUUGUUGGGAAAGAAAAGCAGCAGGUUAAUACCCCGCUGUUCUGACGGUACCCAAAGAAUAAGCACCGGCUAACUUCGUG
rnacentral:rRNA from 1 species